CCUACGGGUGGCUGCAGUCGAGAAUCAUUCACAAUGGGGGAAACCCUGAUGGUGCGACGCCGCGUGGGGGAAUGAAGGUCUUCGGAUUAUAAACCCUUGACAUGUGGGAGCAAAUUAAAAAGGUAGUACCACAAGAGGAAGAGACGGCUAACUCUGUGCCAGCAGCCGCGGUAAUACAGAGGUCUCAAGCGUUGUUCGGAAUGACUGGGCGUAAAGCGUGCGUAGGCUGUUUCGUAAGUCGUGUGUGAAAGGCGCCGGCUCAACCCGGGGACGGCAGCUGAUACUGUGAGACUGGAGUAAGGGAGGGGGAAGCGGAAUUCUUGGUGUAGGAGUGAAAUGCGUAGAUAUCGGGAGGAACACUCGUGGCGAAGGCGGCUGCCUGGACAUUAACUGACGCUGAGGCACGAAGGCCUGGGGAGCGAAAGGGAUUAGAUACCCGUGUAGUC
rnacentral:rRNA from 1 species